rnacentral:rRNA from 1 species
UAGGGAAUAUUGGUCAAUGGAUGGAAGUCUGAACCAGCCAUGCCGCGUGCAGGAAGAAGGCCUUCUGGGUUGUAAACUGCUUUUGCCAGGGGCUAAAAAGCUCAUGCGUGGGAAAUUGAAAGUACCUGGUGAAUAAGCCACGGCUAACUACGUGCCAGCAGCCGCGGUAAUACGUAGGUGGCAAGCGUUGUCCGGAUUUAUUGGGUUUAAAGGGUGCGUAGGCGGCUUUGUAAGUCAGUGGUGAAAUAUGGCAGCUCAACUGUCAGGGUGCCAUUGAUACUGCAGAGCUUGAGUACAGAUGAGGUAGGCGGAAUUGACGGUGUAGCGGUGAAAUGCUUAGAUAUCGUCAAGAACACCUAUAGCGAAGGCAGCUUACUAGGCUGUAACUGACGCUGAGGCACGAAAGUGUGGGGAUCAAACAG